CAGCCGCCACGGUAAUACGUAGGUGGCAAGCGUUGUCCGGAAUUAUUGGGCGUAAAGGGCUCGCAGGCGGUUUCUUAAGUCUGAUGUGAAAGCCCCCGGCUCAACCGGGGAGGGUCAUUGGAAACUGGGAAACUUGAGUGCAGAAGAGGAGAGUGGAAUUCCACGUGUAGCGGUGAAAUGCGUAUAGAUGUGGAGGAACACCAGUGGCGAAGGCGACUCUCUGGUCUGUAACUGACGCUGAGGAGCGAAAGCGUGGGGAGCGAACAGGAUUAGAUACCCCGGUAGUCCCUGUCUCUUAUAC
rnacentral:rRNA from 1 species